rnacentral:rRNA from 1 species
CUCCUUUGACGUUAGCGGCGGACGGGUGAGUAACACGUGGGUAACCUACCUAUAAGACUGGGAUAACUUCGGGAAACCGGAGCUAAUACCGGAUAAUAUUUCGAACCGCAUGGUUCGAUAGUGAAAGGUGGUUUUGCUAUCACUUAUAGAUGGACCCGCGCCGUAUUAGCUAGUUGGUAAGGUAACGGCUUACCAAGGNGACGAUACGUAGCCGACCUGAGAGGGUGAUCGGCCACACUGGAACUGAGACACGGUCCAGACUCCUACGGGAGGCAGCAGCC